GAUUCAACUAUCUCUACCUGGUUCUGCCCUUGACACAUGGAGAUUAUUACAAUUCAAGGCUCAACGUGUGGUUGGCACACAAUAAAUUCUUGCAAUGGAACAAAAUCAUGAUCAACUGUCAACGAGCCUGGCCAUUGACCUUCUGAUGGGAAUGUGCCAACAUCAUAACAAGGCUUCAUCUCAUACGAGUGUGAAAAGGCAAUCAUCAUGCUUAUGAACCACAAGAUUAUCCUAUUUAUUUAUUUUCAAUUAUUUUAUCCUCCUCUGCCUCUUGCCCUGCACUAUAUAAGACCUGCAAUAUAAUGUUGAAUAAGGUGAAAACGAACAUCAUUGCAUCACUCCUGAUAUCAAGGAUGAGGAAACUGAAGUUCGACCUGUUACACAGUUACCAAAUGCCACAGAGUUCUUCAGUAAUGCCACAGGGGCGAGCCUAUGUCUGUUCAUGGAUGCGUCUCCACCUUUGUACACCUGAUACACUGCCCCACUUGGUAGAGUCAAUACAUAGAAACUGUUAUUGUUAUCGUGGCGCCAUCAACCAAAUUAGGAUGGCAGUUUUGAUAUGCUUAGCCUGCCAAUGUAGGGUUGGAAGUUUGAGCUUGGCAAUGUGUUGCCAGGGGUGUGAUAGGGAUGGGGAGAAAGGCUGGCAUUUGGCUGUGGCCGUUGCAAGGCUGUGGAACAAGGCAAGAGAAGAAGCUACCUUUUCUCUCUUAGUGCAUGGGCUGGAGGCAGAGCCCUGGGCCACUUGUGCCUGCAGUGCCCAUCCUGAUGGAUGGGAUCUGACAGAGUGUCCUCCUUCCCUCCCAGGACAGGGAAUACAACCCCCAGCCAGCAGGGGACUGAGUCCAGAUGAGCUGUAAGCCUCAGGCAAUGACAGACACUUUGUGCAAACAAUGCCUCCUCCCUGGGGGCUCUACUUCCCUGGGCAGUCCUCUGAAAUAAACGACAGCAUGGAGCACUGAGCCAGCAAGACCACAGAGGCCGUCUGCCCAAGACAGCCCUAACAGUGGCAUCCACAGCCAGCCUGCUCCAACACCAUGCUCACAUCCCAGACCCCAUCCAAUCUGUCCCCUCCACUGAGUUCAGGAGGGGCAAGGGAACUAUUGGAGCUGCAGAAUGCUUGGUGGUCCAGAUAGAACACUGAAGAGAUGGAAGGCUACUCUGGCUUUGGGCCUAUUUCCUCAGCUCUCCCACUAUGAUACAAUUGCCCACUUCUUUCAAGGCUUAGAGGUGGCGAGAGUUGGAGAAGCCUCACAGAUUGUCUAGUCUAAUAUACUCAUCAGGUGCCGAAGGCACCUCAGUGGGAACUUGAAAUAGUGCUGUCACUGGAUGGUCACAGUGCUGUGGACUUGGCCAGCAGAUGCUGCCUUUGUGAAAUGUGGAAAAGGUGCCCUCUCUUGGGGGAUGCAGCCCUGUGCCAGGAUGCACUGCUUGGUGAAUGCCAAGUGGGUGGGACUUAUGCCCCUGUAUCCCCUGGGCCCAGCACCCUUGCAGUCGGCAACCUGCACAAGUACACACAGCCGUCCUGAAACUCCUGAGUCCAGAGAGAAGUCCAAAUCCUCAACGUGACCUACAGGUGAUGUACUAGCUGCCAAGUUUCAGCAAACAUCAGUCUCCCCUCUCACUCACCUAGUAGCCACGCUGGAUUCCUUUGGGAGCUUCUUGCUGCUGCUGGGCCUUUUUGCACUGGUAGCUCUCUCUUCUUGGAACAGUCUUCCUGUUCUGACUGGGUAAACUGCUACUUAUCCUACUGGUCUCAAUGCAAGUGUUACUUCCGCAGGGUAGCUUUCUCUGACCUCUCAGACUUGGGUAGGACCCUAUCGUGCAUUCUCAUGACAGAUGGUUAAUUAUCAUUAAUUACUGUGUAUCCAGCCUCCCCCUGCUCACUCCUGGACUGGAAGCUCCAUGAGGGCUGGUACUAUUUUGUACAUCACCGCAUCUCUAUCAUCUGGAGGAGUGCCUGACACAUGGUAGACACUCAAUUAAUAAGCUGCGUGUGGUGGUAGGUGCCUAUAGGGAGGCUGAGACAGGAGGAUCACUUGAGCCCAGGAGUUCAG